AUUGAACGCUGGCGGCAUGCCUUACACAUGCAAGUCGAACGGUAACAGGUCUUCGGAUGCUGACGAGUGGCGAACGGGUGAGUAAUACAACGGAACGUGCCUAGUAGUGGGGGAUAACUACUCGAAAGAGUGGCUAAUACCGCAUGAGAUCUACGGAUGAAAGAAGGGGAUCGCAAGACCAUGUGCUACUACAGCGGCCGAUGGCAGAUUAGGUAGUUGGUGGGAUAAAAGCUUACCAAGCCGACGAUCUGUAGCUGGUCUGAGAGGACGAUCAGCCACACUGGGACUGAGACACGGCCCAGACUCCUACGGGAGGCAGCAGUGGGGAAUUUUGGACAAUGGGCGAAAGCCUGAUCCAGCAAUGCCGCGUGCAGGAUGAAGGCCUUCGGGUUGUAAACUGCUUUUGUACGGAACGAAAAGCCCCGGGUUAAUACCCUGGGGUCAUGACGGUACCGUAAGAAUAAGCACCGGCUAACUACGUGCCAGCCGCCGCCGUAA
rnacentral:rRNA from 1 species